AUUGAACGCUGGCGGAAUGCUUUACACAUGCAAGUCGAACGGCAGCACGGACUUCGGUCUGCUGGCGAGUGGCGAACGGGUGAGUAACAUAUCGGAACGUAUCCAAUAAUGGGGGAUAACGAGGCGAAAGAUUCGCUAAUACCGCAUACGCCCCACGCGUGAAGGCUGGGGAACUUCCGGCCUGGCGUUAAUGGAGCGGCCGAUAUCUGAUCAGCUAGUUGGUGAGGUAAAGGCUCAACAAGGCAACGAUCAGUAGCUGGUCUGAGAGGACGACCAGCCACACUGGAACUGAGACACGGUCCAGACUCCUACGGGAGGCAGCAGUGGGGAAUUUUGGACAAGGGGCGCAAGCCUGAUCCAGCCAUUCCGCGUGAGUGAAGAAGGCCUUCGGGUUGUAAAGCUCUUUCGCAAGGGAAGAAAACGUAGCCACUAACAUUGGUUGAGGUUGACGGUACCUUGAUAAGAAGCACCGGCUAACUACGUGCCAGCCGCCGCGGUAAAAC
rnacentral:rRNA from 1 species